UGAAGGGUUUGAUCCUGGCUCAGAACGAACGCUGGCGGCAGGCUUAACACAUGCAAGUCGAACGAUAUAGUGGCAGACGGGUGAGUAACGCGUGGGAACGUACCUUUUGGUUCGGAAUAGCCCUUGGAAACGAGGAGUAAUGCCGAAUAAGCCCUUAGGGGGAAAGAUUUAUCGCCGAAAGAUCGGCCCGCGUUAGAUUAGCUUGUUGGUGAGGUAAUGGCUCACCAAGGCGACGAUCUGUAGCUGGUCUGAGAGGAUGAUCAGCCACA
rnacentral:rRNA from 1 species